rnacentral:rRNA from 1 species
GACGAACGCUGGCGGCGUGCUUAACACAUGCAAGUCGAACGGAAAGGCCCUGCUUUUGUGGGGUGCUCGAGUGGCGAACGGGUGAGUAACACGUGAGUAACCUGCCCUUGACUUUGGGAUAACUCAAGGAAACUGGGGCUAAUACCGGAUAGGAGCUCUUGCUGCAGGGGGGGGGUUGGAAAGUUUGGGCGGUUGGGGAUGGACUCGCGGCUUAUCAGCUUGUUGGUGGGGUAGUGGCUUACCAAGGCUUUGACGGGUAGCCGGCCUGAGAGGGUGACCGGCCACAUUGGGACUGAGAUACGGCCCAGACUCCUACGGGAGGCAGCAGUGGGGAAUAUUGCACAAUGGGCGGAAGCCUGAUGCAGCAACGCCGCGUGCGGGAUGACGGCCUUCGGGUUGUAAACCGCUUUCGCCUGUGACGAAGCGUGAGUGACGGUAAUGGGUAAAGAAGCACCGGCUAACUACGUG